AUUCCGUGGUGAGGACACUCCCUUUGAUACUCCUUGAGUCUAUCCCAAGCUUCAAAUAGGGAUUCAUCACGCUUUUUCUCAAAGGAUUGUAUCUUGUGUCGGUAUU
rfam:Spinacia oleracea cultivar SynViroflay scaffold34944.con0001.1, whole genome shotgun sequence.